CCUACGGGUGGCAGCAGUGGGGGAUAUUGCACAAUGGGGGAAACCCUGAUGCAGCGACGCCGCGUGGGUGAAGAAGUAUUUCGGUAUGUAAAGCCCUAUCAGCAGGGAAGAAAGAAGACGGUACCUGACUAAGAAGCCCCGGCUAACUACGUGCCAGCAGCCGCGGUAAUACGUAGGGGGCGAGCGUUAUCCGGAUUCACUGGGUGUAAAGGGAGCGUAGACGGCCGUGCAAGCCAGGAGUGAAAGCCCGGGGCCCAACCCCGGAACUGCUCUUGGACCUGUGCGGCUGGAGUGCGGGAGGGGUAGGCGGAAUUCCUGGUGUAGCGGUGAAAUGCGUAGAUAUCAGGAGGAACACCGGCGGCGAAGGCGGCCUGCUGGACCGCGACUGACGUUGAGGCUCGAAAGCGUGGGGAGCGAACAGGAUUAGAUACCCCAGUAGUC
rnacentral:rRNA from 1 species